rnacentral:lncRNA from 1 species
AUGUCUAUAUAAAUACCUUCACUUCUGCCUGAGGGUGGCCAGGCUUUUUGAACGAUUUCAAUCUUAUGGAGUGAGCACCUGAAUUGCAAAGAUGAAGCCCCCUCUAGUCUUUUUGCAGAUAAGAGCCAAAGACACAAAAGGACAUGUCAGACUACUAAAACUAGCAGUAUCCUCCAUUUCUGCCUCUUGACAUCUUUUCCCUGGAGUAAUAAUCACUCAACAAAGAAAGAUAAGGGAAUAAUUCCAGAGUCAAGAGAAAGGAAAGUGAAUAGAACUUCGAGAUUUCUUCUUGUAAAAGCUCCAGAUGGGAAAGCAGACGUCACCUCCCAGAGCCCUGCAAAUACAAGAGAUAGCAACUGAGAGUUUUGCUGAGGAGCAGGCCGGUACUUCCAAGGUUUCUGCUGGAUACAAAGAAUGCCAUUGUAUUAUGUGGACUAUCUAAGAGCAUGUUGCAUUGCAGAGAUGGAAUUCUCCAGGGGCUGCCAAGACUGCUGUCAGGUGUAAUCUAACCCAUCAACAUUUUUAGGAGAAAGCAGAAUGAACAUGAAAACGGGGAUGAAGGAGAGAGAGGAACACGCACCUUUGAAGUUGUAAUUGAAAUGAUGAAAUUCAAUGAGCCUGGAAGAAAAAUAGAAA